GGUCCUGUAGCUCAAUUGGUUAGAGUGUUGGUCUGAUAUGCAAAAGGUCAUGGGUUCAAGCCCCAUGGGGACCA
rnacentral:tRNA from 1 species